CAAAACAUGGGCUGUGGCAGCUCCCCUACGCAGCUGUUCAGAAGCGAAAGGCUAUUCAGGGCCCUAAAAGAUGAAAUGGACCACAAGGGGGAACAUCAAGCUCAGAAGGUCACUGUCAUAGCUCAUUUAUUUUUCAGGGAGGCAAUUUAACUCCCCACCAGGCUACAGCAAGAGUCAUGCAGAAGUUGCCAUGGUUGAUGCCAAAUGCAGAGUAAGUGGGAAGAGAAAGAAUGCUGGAAAAGAUACAACAAAAUCUAGAAGCUGGACCUGUUUUAGCUGUGGAACUUUGACCAUGAGCUCCUCAAGGAGAGACUUAAGAAAUGACUUAAUGUAUCUGUGCAAGCACCAGUACAGUACCCAGCACAAAGGAGAAGCUUAACGAACAUUUGCUGAAUCAAUGCAACAAAUGAAUGAGUGACAUCUCUGAAAAGCCAACAAAGACAUAAUUUUCAAAAAAUUCCCUGACUCAGGAGGCAGCUCAGAGCAGCAAAUAAAGCCAAUGAAAGUCAAUUUUGUCUGGACCUGUGGUAGUCAUUGGACUUGUUCCCAAAUGCCACUUCUCUUGCUCUGAGCACACAGUAGUAUUGCAUUCAUCCACCUUCCUGUGCUUAGGUACUGCCACGUGAUUUGCUUUGCCCAAUUAAAUGUGAACAGGAGUGAGCUGUGUCAUUUCUUGGCAGAAGCUUUUAUUGCCAGUACAUGCCUUGCCGUGCUCUUUCUUCUUCCUCAGUAAUCAGCCUUGUUCCAGACAGAGGCUGCUGCACCCGCCUGACUGCUGGCGUUGGCAAUGCUGCAUGGAGCUAAAGCUGGUGCACGUGAAUAAACCGCGUAGGGGAGAAAGGCCCCUGUGUUAUCAAUUUACCUCCUCUCGACACUACAAGAAGUUCCAUAGGAAUUUAGUCUACCAUCAGCUCCAGGUGUGGCCUAUGACCUCAGAUUGGCCAAGGAGAGCAUUGCUUUUCCCCUGAAGACAGGAACUGGCUUACAGAUGGACGCAGGA